UCCCUGAUAUCUCAGUUAGUAAAGAAUCUGCCUGCAAUGCAGGAGUUCCUGGUUAGAUCCCUGGGUUGGGAA
rfam:Ovis aries breed Texel chromosome 13, whole genome shotgun sequence.